GAUGAAGAACGUAGCGAAAUGCGAUAAGUAAUGUGAAUUGCAGAAUUCAGUGAAUCAUCGAAUCUUUGAACGCACAUUGCGCCCGCCAGUAUUCUGGCGGGCAUGCCUGUCCGAGCGUCAUUUCAACCAUCAAGCCCCCGGGCUUGUGUUGGGGACCUGCGGCUGCCCGCAGGCCCUGAAAACCAGUGGGGGGCUCGCUGUCACACCGAGCGUAGUAGCAAUCACCUCGCUCAGGGCGUGCUGCGGGUUCCGGCCGUUAAACAGCCUUACAAAACCCAAGGUUGACCUCGGAUCAGGUAGGAAGACCCGCUGAACUUAAGCAUAUCAAUAAGCGGAGGA
rnacentral:misc_RNA from 1 species